GACGAACGCUGGCGGCGUGCUUAACACAUGCAAGUCGAGCGGUAAGGCCUCUUCGGGGGUACACGAGCGGCGAACGGGGGCGUAACACGUGGGUGACCUGCCCUCAGCUCUGGGAUAAGCCUGGGAAACUGGGUCUAAUACCGGAUAUGACCUUUCCUCGCAUGGGGUUUGGUGGAAAGUUUUUUCGGCUGGGGAUGGGCCGGCGGCCUAUCAGCUUGUUGGUGGGGUGAUGGCCUACCAAGGCGACGACGGGUAGCCGGCCUGAGAGGGCGACCGGCCACACUGGGACUGAGACACGGCCCAGAAUCCUACGGGAGGCGGCAGUGGGGAAUAUUGCGCAAUGGGCGGAAGCCUGACGCAGCGACGCCGCGUGGGGGAUGACGGCCUUCGGGUUGUAAACCUCUUUCGACCCCGACGAAUUUGGACGGUAGGGGUAGAAGAAGCACCGGCCAACUACGUG
rnacentral:rRNA from 1 species